CUUUGCAGGUUGCGCGAGUAGGAAAAGGGCUAAACGACUAAUCCUGUUUGACAAUGGGCCGCUGUCGGCCAAUCUUAACUGGGGUAUCGCAUUGCGCAUGCAUGAUAGAAUAGUUUGUUUAAAACUUGGCAGGCUUGUUCGCUGCUAGUGGCGCCGGUAACCGACCAAUCGCAGCGCAGAACGCUAAAUAACUUUCGCAUGAGCACAACUGAGCGAGAACAAUGCUAUCGAUGAGUAUUCUGACCAAGGAGACCGCCAUGAAUAAAGUAAGACAAAAGACCAAGGUUUCUUUCCACUUUACACUAUCUGAUAGCAACACAUUCCUUCGCCGUAAAAAUAAUGCGUUGUGGUGAUUAGGGUUUCGUUGUCACCUUUGAAAACCGAUUUAGAAAGCGCACUGUAAACUGAAGCGAUGUUCUUUUGUGCUGCGCGUUAUGAAAUUUUAAUUUGGAAAUAUUUGGAAGUAUGUUAUUUGUCACUGAACCAUGCCGUGUCAAUUAUUCAUACAAUAGGGAAACUGCCUUUUGUCCCCGGUUCUGAAAUAGAGCCGUGAAAUAUCCCAUCUAUCCUGCCCUCUAAACAACUCGUCGCUCUCUCAGAACACGCGAUUUAUCACACGACUGACAUGUUUAUUUUGCGCGGGCGAACUUCAAGUUGGUGCGAACGAUUUAUCAAAACAUUUCAAACAAGAUCGACACUUCGUUCAAUCGCAUGAGCUAAUUACUUCUGAGAACAUGCUUUUGUUUGAUUUUGGCCACUGCUAGCGUCGUGCACAUAGCAACGCCACCAGUCACUCUCGCCUUUGCCACUUGUUCGUUUGGUAAAGGCACGUGCGCUGCAAAACAGGUGCGAUACUACCCCCGAGCGAUGAGAACAAAGGUAUAUCGACGUUUUCCGCGAGACAAUGGAGGAAAUUGAGAAGAAAUUUUUCCGUCAGUUCUCACUUAAAUCUCGACAAUAAUUUCAUACUGAGAUAGAAGAGAAUGGAGAAGCUCCGUGACUACUUGCACGGCGUUUUUUCACUUUUGGCGCAUACCGAGUCGAACAAUGCACACGCGCAUGGAAAGCCUGAAUUGACCUGUUCUAAAGUGGGGAAGACAUAGAUGGAUGGGAGAAUCAGAUGAACGAAUGGGUGGUUAUCAAUAUAUCAUAAAAUGGGAAGCAAUGUCAAGGCAAAGCAAAGAAAAGGAUACUGUAUAAUUUUGCGGUUUCUAUUGUAAACAAGGACUUGGUCGAUCACUUGACUGGGAAGCUAACGUGAGCGCGAUAGCUCAGAAGAAAACCUGUCACGGUAGUCAGAUGCCAGAUUUACGACUGUUAAGAGUCUGAAAUCAGUUACAUGAUAGACCAUUAAGAACUUGCAACAAAAAACAAAGAGAAGAGCUGAAAGCGUUUUAUCGUCAGAGCAAAUAUGGCAGCAAGAUAGCAGAUAACCUAUAUUGUAAACAAACUGAAAUGUUUAAAUAAAAGACGAAUGAAAAAGCGCGUGCGACUCCGUAGUUUUACAAGAUCUUCGUCUUCGUUGUCAAGAAAGGAAUGUUUUUAACAUAUGGCAAAUCUGACUUGAAAAGCCACAUGGCUCAAUUUUGCAUGUGCUUUGGAAUGUUUAUGAAAUUAUAUUGAGGGUGUGACUCAAUUAGUUAAACAAAUCUAUUUAGAUUAUUUACGCCCAAGCCAACAUCUCGGUUUUCUUUUACAUCGUAUGCGAAAAAAGUAACAUCAUUCUAGUCACUGAAAAAAAAUUUGUCAAGAAGCACACAUUACUGCACGUAUGCUCAAUUUGAAACCCAUUUUCGUCGUCGCUUUUGACGCAUAUUUGAUAAUAGGGCACUUGCUUUAAAAGGGCAAUUAAACUAAGAUUUAAAUCUCAUAAACCUGAUAGAGGCUUAAGAAAGUUACACUAAUACUUUAAAAAGCUCAACGGGUCCACUGGGAUGAUUUAGUUAGUUU